rnacentral:rRNA from 1 species
GAUGAACGCUGGCGGCGUGCCUAAUACAUGCAAGUCGAGCGAACGGACGAGAAGCUUGCUUCUCUGAUGUUAGCGGCGGACGGGUGAGUAACACGUGGAUAACCUACCUAUAAGACUGGGAUAACUUCGGGAAACCGGAGCUAAUACCGGAUAAUAUUUUGAACCGCAUGGUUCAAAAGUAAAAGACGGUCUUGCUGUCACUUAUAGAUGGAUCCGCGCUGCAUUAGCUAGUUGGUAAGGUAACGGCUUACCAAGGCAACGAUGCAUAGCCGACCUGAGAGGGGGAUCGGCCACACGGGAACUGAGACACGGUCCAGACUCCUACGGGAGGCAGCAGUAGGGAAUCUUCCGCAAUGGGCGAAAGCCUGACGGAGCAACGCCGCGUGAGUGAUGAAGGUCUUCGGAUCGUAAAACUCUGUUAUUAGGGAAGAACAUAUGUGUAAGUAACUGUGCACAUCUUGACGGUACCUAAUCAGAAAGCCACGGCUAACUACGUG